AGCAGUCGCCGCGGUAAUACGGAGGGUGCAAGCGUUAAUCGGAAUUACUGGGCGUAAAGCGUGCGUAGGCGGUUCGUUAAGUCUGUUGUGAAAGCCCCGGGCUCAACCUGGGAAUGGCAAUGGAUACUGGCGAGCUAGAGUGUGUCAGAGGAUGGUGGAAUUCCCGGUGUAGCAGUGAAAUGCGUAGAGAUGUGGAGGAACACCGAUGGCGGAGGCAGCCCCCUGGGCCAAUACUGACGCUCGUGCACGAAAGCGUGGGGAGCAAACAGGAUUAGAUACCCCAGUAGUCCCUGUCUCUUAUAC
rnacentral:rRNA from 1 species